rnacentral:rRNA from 1 species
AUUGAACGCUGGCGGCAGGCCUAACACAUGCAAGUCGAGCGAGCGGCGGACGGGUGAGUAAUGUAUGGGGACUGCCCGAUAGAGGGGGAUAACUACUGGAAACGGUGGCUAAUACCGCAUACUAUCGGAUAACCCAUAUGGGAUUAGGUAGUAAGUGGGGUAAAGGCUCACCUAGGCGACGAUCUCUAGCUGGUGUGGGGGGAUGAUACUCCCCCCUGGGACUGAGACACGGCCCACACUCCUUCUCCCCCCUCCUUCUCUCCUAUUUCAACCUUCACGCAAGCCUGAUUCAGCCAUGCCGCGUGUAUGAAUACUACUUUAUGUUUAUCACGUACUUUCAGCGGGGAGGCGUUACCCGCAGAAGAAGCACCGGCUAACUCCGUGCCAGCAGCCGCGGUAAUAC